rnacentral:rRNA from 1 species
GCUAUCAUGACGCAGCUGAUCCAGCCAUGCCGCGUGAGUGAUGAAGGCCUUCGGGUUGUAAAGCUCUUUCAUGGGUGAUGAUAAUGACAGUACCAGGUAAAGAUGCCCCGGCUAACUCCGUGCCAGCAGCCGCGGUAAUAGUCCGUGCCAGCAGCCGCAGUAAUAA